GAUGAACGCUAGCGGCAGGCCUAACACAUGCAAGUCGAGGGAGAGGUUACCUUCGGGUAACCAAAACCGGCGCACGGGUGCGUAACGCGUAUACAAUCUGCCUUUCACAUAGGGAUAGCCCGAAGAAAUUUGGAUUAAUACCUAAUGGUAUAUAAGAGCGGCAUCGUUUUUAUAUUAAAGCUACGGUGGUGAAAGAUGAGUAUGCGUUCUAUUAGCUAGUUGGAGAGGUAACGGCUCCCCAAGGCGACGAUAGAUAGGGGUUCUGAGAGGGAUGUCCCCCACACUGGUACUGAGAUACGGACCAGACUCCUACGGGAGGCAGCAGUGAGGAAUAUUGGACAAUGGUCGGAAGACUGAUCCAGCCAUGCCGCGUGCAGGAUGAAGGUCCUAUGGAUUGUAAACUGCUUUUGUAAGGGAAGAAUAAGGAGUACGUGUACUUUGAUGACGGUACCUUACGAAUAAGCAUCGGCCAACUCCGUG
rnacentral:rRNA from 1 species